rnacentral:rRNA from 1 species
UACGUAGGGGGCGAGCGUUGUCCGGAUUUAUUGGGCGUAAAGGGCGUGUAGGCGGCCAGGUAGGUCAGCUGUGAAAACUCGAGGCUCAACCUCGAGAUGUCGGCUGAAACCAUCUGGCUAGAGUCCGGAAGAGGAGAAUGGAAUUCCCGGUGUAGCGGUGAAAUGCGCAGAUAUCGGGAAGAACACCCGUGGCGAAGGCGGUUCUCUGGGACGGUACUGACGCUGAGACGCGAAAGCGUGGGGAGCGAACAGG